GACCACGUAGCUCAGUUGGCAGAGCAUUGGGCUAGUAAUUUCCAAAGGUCGUGGGUUCGAUUCCCACCCUUGCCA